rnacentral:rRNA from 1 species
UGGGGAAUAUUGCACAAUGGGCGGAAGCCUGAUGCAGCGACGCCGCGUGGGGGAUGAAGGCCUUCGGGUUGUAAACUCCUUUCGACAGGGACGAAGCUUUUGUGACGGUACCUGUAUAAGAAGCGCCGGCUAACUACGUGCCAGCAGCCGCGGUAAUACGUAGGGCGCGAGCGUUGUCCGGAAUUAUUGGGCGUAAAGGGCUUGUAGGCGGUUGGCCGCGUCUGCCGUGAAAUCCUCUGGCUUAACUGGGGGCGUGCGGUGGGUACGGGUUGACUUGAGUGCGGUAGGGGAGACUGGAAUUCCUGGUGUAGCGGUGGAAUGCGCAGAUAUCAGGAGGAACACCGGUGGCGAAGGCGGGUCUCUGGGCCGUUACUGACGCUGAGGAGCGAAAGCGUGGGGAGCGAACAGG